rnacentral:misc_RNA from 1 species
AACGCACAUUGCGCCCCCUGGUAUUCCGGGGGGCAUGCCUGUCCGAGCGUCAUUGCUGCCCUCAAGCCCGGCUUGUGUGUUGGGCCGCCGUCCCCCCUCCGCGGGGGACGGGCCCGAAAGGCAGCGGCGGCACCGCGUCCGGUCCUCGAGCGUAUGGGGCUUUGUCACCCGCUCUGUAGGCCCGGCCGGCGCCUGCCGACCACUCCAAUCUUCUUCAGGUUGACCUCGGAUCAGGUAGGGAUACCCGCUGAACUUAA